AAUAGAUACCCUGGUAGUCCACGCCGUAAACGAUGCUAACUCGUUUUUGGGCCUUUGGGUUCAGAGACUAAGCGAAAGUGAUAAGUUAGCCACCUGGGGAGUACGUUCGCAAGAAUGAAACUCAAAGGAAUUGACGGGGGCCCGCACAAGCGGUGGAUUAUGUGGUUUAAUUCGAUGAUACGCGAGGAACCUUACCAAGGCUUAAAUGGGAAAUGACAGGCUUAGAAAUAGGCUUUUCUUCGGACAUUUUUCAAGGUGCUGCAUGGUUGUCGUCAGCUCGUGCCGUGAGGUGUUAGGUUAAGUCCUGCAACGAGCGCAACCCCUGUCACUAGUUGCCAUCAUUAAGUUGGGGACUCUAGUGAGACUGCCUACGCAAGUAGAGAGGAAGGUGGGGAUGACGUCAAAUCAUCACGGCCCUUACGCCUUGGGCCACACACGUAAUACAAUGGCCAGUACAGAGGGCAGCUACACAGCGAUGUGAUGCAAAUCUCGAAAGCUGGUCUCAGUUCGGAUUGGAGUCUGCAACUCGA
rnacentral:rRNA from 1 species